rnacentral:rRNA from 1 species
CCCUUAGAUGUUCUGGGCCGCACGCGCGCUUCACUGACGAAUGCAACGAGCUUAUAACCUUGGCCGAAAGGUCUGGGUAAUCUCCAAAUUUCGUCGUGAUGGGGAUAGAUUAUUGCAAUUAUUAAUCUUCAACGAGGAAUGCCUAGUAAGCGCAAGUCAUCAGCUUGCGUUGAUUACGUCCCUGCCCUUUGUACACACCGCCCGUCGCUCCUACCGAUUGAAUGGUCCGGUGAAGCGUUCGGACCGUGGCCUUUGGACGGUUCGCCGUCUGUUGGCUGCGGGAAGUUCGUUAAACCUUAUCAUUUAGAGGAAGGAGAAGUCGUANCA